rnacentral:rRNA from 1 species
UGGGGAAUUUUGGACAAUGGGCGCAAGCCUGAUCCAGCCAUGCCGCGUGCAGGAUGAAGGCCUUCGGGUUGUAAACUGCUUUUGUACGGAACGAAAAGCCCCCUUCUAAUAAAGGGGGUGAUGACGGUACCGUAAGAAUAAGCACCGGCUAACUACGUGCCAGCAGCCGCGGUAAUACGUAGGGUGCAAGCGUUAAUCGGAAUUACUGGGCGUAAAGCGUGCGCAGGCGGUUAUGUAAGACAGAGGUGAAAUCCCCGGGCUCAACCUGGGAACUGCCUUUGUGACUGCAUAGCUUGAGUGCGGCAGAGGGGGAUGGAAUUCCGCGUGUAGCAGUGAAAUGCGUAGAUAUGCGGAGGAACACCGAUGGCGAAGGCAAUCCCCUGGGCCUGCACUGACGCUCAU